rnacentral:rRNA from 1 species
CACGUAGGGCGCGAGCGUUGCUCGGAAUGACUGGGCGUAAAGGGCGCGUAGGCGGAUGACACAGUCAGAUGUGAAAUUCCCGGGCUUAACCUGGGGGCUGCAUUUGAUACGUGUUGUCUAGAGUGAGGAAGAGGGUUGUGGAAUUCCCAGUGUAGAGGUGAAAUUCGUAGAUAUUGGGAGGAACACCAGUGGCGAAGGCGGCUCACUGGACCGGUACUGACGCUGAUGCGCGAAAGCGUGGGGAGCAAACGGG